rnacentral:rRNA from 1 species
UACCCGCAGCACAAGUGGUGGUCAUUAUUAUUGGGCCUAAAGCGUCCGUAGCUGGCGUGUUAGAUGCCUGUGUAAAUCGAUGCGCUUAACGUAUCGAAUUCCGGGUAGACCGGCACGCUCGAGACCGGGAGAGGUGUAGGGUACUCGGGGGGUAGGGGUAAAAUCCUGUAAUCCUGCGGGGAGGACCAGUGGCGAAGGCGAUACACUAGAACGGCUCUGACAGUGAGGGACGAAGCCCUGGGGCGCAAACCGG